AUAACAAAGGCAGUGGAAGCUGUCAAUUGAAGUGUUCAGAGUGUGGUCCGUUCGUGCCAUGAAGCUACAGGUGUUGUGUGUGUGCGCGCUGCUCUGUGCUGUGGCGUGUCGCAGUCUGGACGAGAGGCGACAGGGAGACAUCCCCCAGCUUAGCGAUGAUAUCAAAGUCAGAGCGAAGAGACGAAUCGUGCCAGCUCAAGUGUGUGAGUUCGGCCGAAUACGAAUAUAUGGAUUGUGUAUACCAUGUGACGUAUACAAAGACAUAAUGGAAGAAGACUGUCCCUAAACAAACCGAGAUCUAAGAAUGGCAGUCCCGAAGUCCAUCGAGAGUCGCCGAGGGUGUGACACUAAUUAGAACCUCGCCACGGUGCACUUGUAUUUCAAGAUUAAAGUAUUAUUACUAAUGUAUACAGUCUUAAACAUUAAUAAUAAAUAUGUAAUUCUAUCCUAAAUAAA